rnacentral:rRNA from 1 species
UCCCGUAACGAGCGCAACCCUUGUCCUUAGUUACCAGCACGUAAUGGUGGGCACUCUAAGGAGACUGCCGGUGACAAACCGGAGGAAGGUGGGGAUGACGUCAAGUCAUCAUGGCCCUUACGGCCUGGGCUACACACGUGCUACAAUGGUCGGUACAAAGGGUUGCCAAGCCGCGAGGUGGAGCUAAUCCCAUAAAACCGAUCGUAGUCCGGAUCGCAGUCUGCAACUCGACUGCGUGAAGUCGGAAUCGCUAGUAAUCGUGAAUCAGAAUGUCACGGUGAAUACGUUCCCGGGCCUUGUACACACCGCCCGUCGCACCAUGGGAGUGGGUUGCACCAGAAGUAGCUAGUCUAACCCUCGGGAGGACGGUUACCACGGUGUGAUUCAUGACUGGGGUGAAGUCGUAACAGGGUAACC